rnacentral:rRNA from 1 species
GACGAACGUUGGCGGCGUGCUUAAUACAUGCAAGUCAACUGAAGCAGUGGUAGCAAUAUCGCUGUGGAGGUGGCGCACGGGUGAGUAACACGUAGGUAAUCUGCCUUCAGGUCUGGCAUAACUCCGGGAAACCGGGGCUAAUAGCAGAUGAUGCAGCGGCUCGACAUCGAGACAGUUGUUAAAGCUAUGGCGCCUGAAGAUGAGCCUGCGUCUGAUUAGCUAGUUGGCGGGGUAACGGCCCACCAAGGCAACGAUCAGUAGAUGGUCUGAGAGGAUGAUCAGCCACACUGGAACUGAGACAAGGCCAAGACUCCUACGGGAGGCAGAAGUAAGGAAUAUUGCUCAAUGGGAGAAAUACUGAAGCAGCAACGCCGCGUGAGGGACGAAGGGCUUUUGAUUGUAAACCUCUGUAGUGAGAGAAAAAAAUCCAAAUCUUUGGGACAUGAUGGUAUCUCAAAAGUAAGCCCCGGCUAACUACGUG